CCCUUAGACACUCUAGGCGGCACGCGCGCUACAAUGGGUGGAAGAACGUGUUACUGCCUCCGAAAGGAGGGGUGAAUCACGAAUUCUUGCCCGUGAAUGGGAUAGUUUGUUGCAAUUUUCGGACUUGAGCUAGGAAUCCCUUGUAAACAUGCUCAAGAAUAGCGUGUUGAAUACGUCCCUGCCGUUUGUACACACCGCCCGUCGUUUCUUCUGACUGAUACUCAUUGUGAGUUGCAAGGACCCUUUAUUGGGAAAUUGCUGCAAAUGCUUUGUAUUGGAGGAAGAAAAAGGCGUAACA
rnacentral:rRNA from 1 species